CGGGGUGAGUAAUGUAUGGGGAUCUGCCUGAUGGCGGGGGAUAACUACUGGAAACGGUAGCUAAUACCGCAUAAUGUCUGCGGACCAAAGCGGGGGACCUCCGGGCCUCGCGCCAUCAGAUGAACCCAUAUGGGAUUAGCUAGUAGGUAAGGUAACGGCUUACCUAGGCGGCGAUCCCUAGCUGGUCUGAGAGGAUGAUCAGCCACACUGGGACUGAGACACGGCCCAG
rnacentral:rRNA from 1 species